AAACUUUACAUUCCUACCAUUUUCCAACGCAUACCCUUUAACAACAUCUAUAAUAUCUUGCUUAUUUGCAAAAAAAGUCCCUACUUCCCAUGUAAAGUCCACCAUACUUUUUGGCAUACAAAAAGUACUAAACCUCCCAUGACCUUCAGUGUCAUUAACCUCUUCAUCACUAUCUGUUGCAGUAAGUAAUUCCUCAGAUUUCCACUCCUCAUCUGACAAACCUCUCUCAUCAUGAUCAUCACUUUCAACACUCACAUCAUCACUGGCUUU
rnacentral:lncRNA from 1 species